CAUAGUUCCUGCUUCCAAACGGAGAGACAGGGAAUUAUUAAGCCUGAUUAUCUCCAAAGCACCUGCCAGCUUGGACAUUCUAUGAAACAAGUGAGAUCACGAAAGACGUGAAGCAUGUUAGAGCUCUGCUGCUACAUUUAGUUGGUGUCCGGCAGUGAAGGUUUGCAUACGGGAUGGAGCAAAGGUCACAAAACACUCUGCUGCGGAGGUAAGCUGCGACCAUCUAGCCUUCUGGGAGUGUGCGAAGCCCCUAAACCACAAGGAUCCAGACUGGGAGCAAGAUGUUGUGUCUGAACACCCUCAAGACAGAGAACCAGAAUCUCUGCUGAGUUCCUGUCAC